CCUAUUAUCCGCAGAAAACACAUUUGGAAAACCGAGGUCCCUUCCAAGAUCAAAGUUUUUAUGUGAUUUUUGCAGAAGGGGGUAGUCCUUAUCAAAGAUAAACUUGCUAAGCCUAACUGACAUGGUAACAAGAAAUGUUGUUUUUGUGAUCAGGAGGGGGCAGUACAUCAUUUAUUUCUGUCAUCUCCAUUUACUACCUUGAUCUUGCGAAUCAUGUUACAUACAAUUUAG
rnacentral:rRNA from 1 species